UAGUCUAGUUACCGGAGAGAUAUUAAAAGGAAAAGGAGGGAAAGACCACAAACAACUGGGAAACUAUUUUUGGCCUUCUUCAACCAUGAGAACCAGCCACCGAACAGGAAGAAAGAAAGCACCAUCACAAGGCAAGAAGGAACGUAGUCCACUUAGCUAAGAAUCGGGGAGAGAGAUUAGAAUCUUGUUUUCCUAACUUAGAGCCAUAAGAACCAGAGGUAAACUAUAGCCUUUCUUUCCAUUUCUUUUGCAUUUAGCUAGUAGUCUCUUAGGCUGAGUUAGAACCAAGUAAAGAAGGAAACUUUCUAGAAAGCAAAGAUCAACAAAGCUGGAAAUGUUCGUUUGAAGUUGUUAUCCGAUAUUUGAUGAGCUAAGCUGUAAUUUUCUGGUUGUUUCUUAUGUUGCAUAUCUUAUAUACACUCUCUAGCCAUAUAUCUUGACAUACAUACAGAUUAUAUCUUCAAAUAAAACCUGUUAAGAUGAAAUUAUGAUGAACUGCUGGCUGGAAUUCUUGAUACAAUGAAGGAUGAUUGCCGAUGGGGUAAAGUUGGAAAGAAUUUCGGUUUCUGGCCAAAUGUUUUGUUGAAACUGGUUAGGACUUGUUUGGUGCACCAUCGGUGACCUUAAUCUGAUCAUGCAUGUAAUGUUUGAAGUGCUAAAACCAAGAAAAAAAUGAGUUCUGGCCUAGGAAAAUUCUGUUCAAUGACUAAUUAGUUGUUGGAGAAAUUCUGUGACAGCCGAGAGAGUACGGAACUGGACUUGCAGCAUGUAAUCUGAAUUUUCUUUGGAGAAUUAUGCUAGGAAUGUAUGAAAUAUGUUUAUCUCUGAUCUUAUAGGAUAUUUAUCUCCAAAACUAGUAAAAACAUUGAUAAACUUGGCUGGAAAUGUCAAUGAAACCUGCUGGAACCUGUUGGGAUGGUCGAAAGAGAGAAAUGGUGAAAUUUUCCAGUUUUCUCCAUGGAUUUUGGGGUUGUAAAUUGCAUAUUGUUGUUGUUCACACCUUAUAAUAAUUUAAUAUUGACAUGCAUGUAACACUUGAAAGUUUAAAAGUAAGAAAAGAUGAACUUUAGAGCAGGAACAAAUCUGGAACAUUAAGACAGCAAACUAGGAGGAAAGAAGAACGCUGCAACUUUGGUUAUUUUCUUGGAAAUUUUGCUUGAUCAUAACUGAAAUCCAUGCUUUAUGCCUUGUCUAAUGUUUUUAGAGUGAUGCAUGUAAGAUUUAGAGCUAGUUUGUGUUUGUUUUAUAGCUGGUUUACUUGCUGGAAUUGCUCCAACUUGGCCAAGAGAAAAGGAGUUUGGUUUUCCAACUUAUAUCAGAAUUUUUAGUAAUUUGACCUGCACAAAUCCUGUUGUGUGCUCAUUCUUUGGUGUAUGUAUUUCGUAACAUAUGUUCUGUUUUUGGUUCUAGCGAAAGUUGGUUGUUUAAGAGUGAAAACUUAAGGAACAUUGCUAGAAUUUUUUUUUAAUGAGGGCCGAGAAGAGGGAGAGCAAGGGAAAUUUCAGCUUUAACUCCCUAAUGUUGGUUACUAAUAAGUAUAUCCUUGCUUCAUAUAUCUCUUAACAUCUAAAACUAGACAUGCAUGAGGUACGCGUUGAGUUUUAAUUUAGAAAAGACUAAUUUAGGAGGAAACGGAAGAAGUGAACCUGGACAAUUAUUCUACCUUUAAGACUAAAUCUUAACCUUAAUUAAUUUUGGUUUUAACUUGAGUUGCUCGAUAGAUUUUAUACAAUAUUAUUGUGCUUAAACUUAGCCAAAUUAUACUAAAGUGAAUGAUAUAUGUACUUGGGUAUCUUCUAAUGAUUAAACUUGGUAUAACCAACUUAGAAUCGGGAUUGGGGAUGAAAGUAACUGCACUUAGUGACUAUUCCUAGAAUUAUACCAUAAUCAUAGUACUUGAAAUUUGUCUCAGGAACUACUAGUGGGCGUGAAAGCAAUCUCGAGACUGAAGUGCAACUUGUUUGACUAAGUAAGUGCUUUCACAUUGUGUGUUUAAAUUGCCUAUGUAUUACUUAAAUGAUGUUUAUAUGAUUAUACUAGUGCUUUAUUAUGAAAUGUUUUCAAUUGUCCCUCGCCUUCUAAGUCGGGAGUGUACUUUAUCGCAUUCGACUUAGUUUGAGCUUGAGCUCGAAGGUUGAUAAUUGAUCAAGUGUUAUUGUAAGUGUGCAUGACUGUAAGCCGUGUGUGUACUUUACCACACCGGCUGAACUGGGCCCCAAAACCCUUUGUUCAAAGGACUAUUCGAGCUAGCAAAAGGGUUUGGUCGGAUAGGGUGGUAGCUUUGGGUAACUACAUUGGUAUGCUCGAGUAUUACCACGGAGUAGCAUAUUACUGAUAUUGAUAUGACCAUCUAAGUGAGGGAAGUGUUUAUUAUUUUGGAGGUUAUAAGGAGGACUUCGGUGGAGUGUGUAGUGCAUUGAAGUGGCUCUAAUGCGAGCACCGUAUCCUUUUAAAAGUGAUUGUUCAGUGAAGUGUUCUCUAAUUCAUUCAGUGAAGUGUUUCCUUAAUUGUUUAAUUUUGCUACUUGUUUAAGUGUUUAAUUGAUUGCUGCUUGUGUGGAACCUCACUGAGGUUUAGCUCAACCUUUUAGCUUUGUUUUCCUUAUAGGAGUUAGAGAUUGAAGAGUGAUUGGAUUGAAUUAGAAAGUUAUUUUGGGAAAAUCCGUUACUGUGCGUAUAUAUUGUAGUCAUGGUUUCUUUUGUAUUUUGAGACGGUUGAAUCUUUUGUUUUGAGUAGGUGUGAUAUUAAGAAUGGAUGUUUAGAACAUGUAUUUUGUUUCUUUUAUUGGACAAACUUAUGUUUUAAGCUAAUUGGAGUUGUACUUAAGAGUGAAUGUUCAGUUGUUCAAUGGUUAUAUUAUCUCUGAAGUUAAUGUAAGAUAUGCAAGAUUAAAGAGGGUUUAUCAAAUGUUAUCUUUGAAGAAUGAGUCCUGGCGAGAGCCAGGCGGGCGGUCCGCUAACUUCUAGGGUAUGCCCUAAGAGAAGGUAGGGCCGUCACACCAUGAACAGUUGUCUCUGAUUGAUAAAAAGUGAUUGAAUGCUGUUUAUUAUGGACAAUGUUACUACAAGCGAAUAGCUUAUACUUAUAACAAGAAAGUCGAACCUCACCUAUUCGAAGUAGGAUACAAGAUCUUGAAGCGAAUUCUUCUAGUUUAGGAGGAGGUUAAAGGGAAAUUCGCUCUAAAUUGGCAAUGACCCUUCAUUGUUAAGAAGGUGUUGACCAGCGGGCACUUAUUCUUAUGAAAAUGGUGGGCAAGUUUUUCCUCAACAAAUCAAUUUAGACAUGUUCAAAAGAUUUUUCAACUGAUUAUAUAAAUUUUGAUGCGAACCCAUUUCUCUAAGGACUGCUCGAGAAGAAAUCGAAUCGAUCUGGCAGUAGAAGGAUCUAUCUCGAUCAAGUUGUGGACACAAAAAAACCUCAACCCGUUGUUCACGUGAACAACGAAUCUUGGUAUAAGGGAUGGAACCUAACUCCAUCAGGGACAAGACGAAUUAAGGUUGGUAGGAAGGUGCCAUAAUCAAAUGUGUUGUUUGAUUGAUAAACCAUAAAUGAACACUCAAAAACCCAUCUCAAGUAUUCGAAGGGGGUCGGCGACAAGUCAAGAGAAAACUCUCUAAAAAAACGUCAUUUCUUCUCCCUUUUGAAUGGAAAGAUACAAAUAUUUUUAACCCUAUCAUACCUAGACUAAUGGAUUCAACUUAACUUACCUAAUACUAAUCAACUAACUCACGUCCCAAUUAAAAAACUUAUUGUUGGUUGAUUAUUACACAAGGAAAUAACUAAUAAAACGACUCAAUUAACCAAUGGACUUGACAACUAAUUCGGAUCCAACUUAACAUGAGAUGUUGGACCAAGUUUAUUCCUACCAAAUUAACUAGAAAUCUAAAAAAUAAACUACUAAGCUACUAAUAGAAACUCGAACUACUUGAACCUUGAAACAUGGCCCUUAAGCAGCCUAUAUGCAGCCCAUAUUUCGCAUCAUUUUCCUCCUCUUGAAAAAAAAGAUUUGUCCUCAAAUCUUGAGGAAAAAUGGUGGAAGAACAAAUGAGAAACAUAUAUACUCCACUUUCAUUAUUUAACGCAAUUGACUUGUCAUAGCCUCCAUAAGAAGUGUAGGAUCAAAAGUAAAAGUUUUACCUUCUUUUGACAUGUUGAUGUAACCUGUAAAAGAGUUAGUAGAGAAAAUUUUUUCUCACUCGCUCCCUCACGUGUUUACACUCAACCCUUGUGUAUCACUCAAGUGGUUUAACACUCUAAUGAUCUCACCAAUUAAGUUCUCAAGGCCAUUUGAUCAACACGUUGAAGAAAUUAGAACUCCUUCUAGUGUUGACCAACUUAUCACCUUUAGACGAAGUAAGAUUAUAGGAUAUUUGAGCCAAAAGAAUGCGACUAAUCUGGACUGAUUUGAACUCAAGGAAAUGACUUUAGGACACUAUAAUGAGUGAAAAAGACUCAUAAAUUGAAGGAAAAAUUGCUGGACAAUUCACAUGAAUUUUGAAUAGUUAAACCCGAAGCAAUGGUUUGCUAGUGAAGCUGGAAUUUUUGGUGUUUGUUGUACUCGACUGUUAUGGUGUUUAAAGGGCAGUUGUUUUGGUUGAAAAAUACUCCUUUUCCUCUUUGGAAAUCAGGUGCAAAACGAUUUCAAUCCCAGCCCAAAUAGGAUGAAAUUGGAAGUCAAUAAAGCUAAAAUAUCAAAUCCUUGUGCGGCUAGGAAAUGGAAUGUGACAACGGUUAGUUUGUUUGGUUGUUUCCAAAUAUGAUUUGGAAAGUUUAAGGCUCACGGCUUUAAACUGAAUGAAUUGAGCUGCGUUUUUUUUUUAAUUUCUUUUCUUUUUUGUUUCUUUUUUUUUUCACGGUGCAGCUUCAAGACAAACCUAACAGCCAUAGAUUUUUUAAGAACUUGAAAUAGUUGUUUCAAGAACUCAAAGAGUAAUCAAAGUUCAACCCAAGAUUUACCACAAUUCGAGAAUAUAAUUCAAGAACUUCAAAUUUUCAAGAAUGGAAUUAAGAAAGUCCAAGAAUUUUCAAGAUUUUCACCAAGAAUCUUAAGAAUCUCAAACAAAGUUCAAGAAUUCAAUAAUUUCCAACAACUUGACACGAACAAACACAAGGUAUGUGACAGCCCCACCUCACCCUAAGGCGAACCAAAGGGUUCGGCGGACCGUCUGCCCAACUCUCGCCGGGACUACGGAUCUAGAACAAACGUAAACCCUACCAAACGCUCAAAAGGACUUCGAGAAGAUAAACAUUUAGAACCCAAUUGAGCCGAACUAAAAGAUAUAAUCAAUCUUUGGUACAACGUUCCCAUGAAAAUCAAAACGAAAUGGAAGUACCGCCAGGACUACUAAGCUAAUCACACCCUGAAAAACUUGUUCCGAAAGAUAAUACAGUGCUCGAGCGCUACAACGACCGUUAAAAGAAACAAAACAAAGAACGAAAAUAAGCCGCGGAUGAACAGUGACUGCCACGUCACAAUCCGGCCGGAACCCAAUCGAAUACAGAUAACAUUAUAUAACUCUAGAGAAUAAACCUUUCCAAACCAAAUAAAAAGCAUGAACAUGAUUAAAUAGUUUUAUAUACAUACAUUUGUAAUUUACAAAUCAAAAGGGAAAUAUUUGGAUCAAAGUACAUUUAGGGUUUUCCAACUCCCGAGGAGCUAUACAAAAGAGUAUUUAUACUAGCUCAUUUCAUUCUUCAAAACAUCGAAGUUCCAAAAGAUGGUUCCCUGUAAGGAAAACAAGGAUAACGGAACGGGGUGAGCCAGAAGCUCAAUGAGGUACCCAAAAGUAUAAACAGUAGAAAUCAUCAGGAAUCACUUUUAGGGCACAUAUACACAUCAAAUAAGAGAAUGAACACCACAAAUUAAAGGAUACAGGUGGCUCUCAGGAGCCAACUUCCCGUUGCAAUACUUGAUCCAAUCUCGUUGACCCUCCGUCAACGUUGAAUGAAACACACAUGUCCGUAGACCCCGCUUACGCCAAAAUCCCGUUCACCAAACAUACCCCUUAUGGGGCCCAAACGCCAAACAAGAACAAGAAUGGUAAUACUCGAGUAUACCGGAAAUCUAGAGUCUCCAAUACCCAAAGAUUUCCCAAGAACAGGCACCCAUGGAUUGUCAAAUUUUCUCGACCAAGCCCUUGCUGGCUCGAUCCAAUUGACUCCCCAUGAGGUUGAGCUCAGAUUUAACAGGAAGGUCGUUGGAUGCACUUCCAAACGACAUUAUAAUAGGCGCAGGUAACAGAUUCAAGUAUAUACAGGAAACAAGUCACACAGACCAGAGAACGAGUGCGAUAAAGUACACACUCGUCUCGUACAAAAUAAACAGUCGGUAAGGACAUUCAAAUAGCAAUUUGCAAGUACAGAUAACCAGUUUAACAAUAAUUCAGGGGAGUGGUACACUCACCAGUUAAAGCAAGGAUACUUCAAAAGUUUCAACCAAAAUAGGGCUCUAAUCAUCAAGAAACUCUAGAAUAACCAAGGUCAACAAUUAUGGUUCCCACAGCCACAAAUCCAGUAAAUAAAAUGCACAAAUGAGGCUCGACUACAAGUUGUAGACCUCGCCAAAUAAUUACUCAUGCAGGUGUGCAAAACAUGAUUUUGGGACGAAAAGGUAACAUGAAAACCUAAGACUCGAACAACCCCAAAAACCCUUCUUAUAUAUAUCCCAAACUAAACCAAACUCGAAGAAAUCCAACACUCCCAAAAUUUGGACAGCAUAUCCCCUAUAUUUCCUUACUUUUCCAUCCUACAAGCAACACCAAUUCAUCUCAAAUCAACCACAUAUACAUCAUAGACUAUAAAAUACACCUUUCGGCACAAUAAGCACAACUGAAGCUACACUUAUCGGAUUGAAACGAAUCUUAUGGCGUUUCGAAGCCAAAACAUAUACCUACAUUUCUUAUGAGAUCUCCAAAGCCAAAUCAUGCAUUUUCAUGGUAAAAAAUGGAAAUCCCCACGAAAACAGAAAUCUGUCCGCGAAACAGGGCUCAUGGACAGUCAAGGGUAUUUCAGUCAUUUCACAUGAUACACUACUUGGAUCGAGUUGAAAAUUUUCAGGCAUCUAGUUAACAUCAUUUUAUACAACUUUCAUGUUUUAACCUAAGCCUGAUUUGGCCUCUAACAUGCAUGAAUAAAGCCGUUCCGAACAGGGCAGAUUGGAACCCUAAAACUGAAAUUUCGGCACAAAACUGAAAUUUUCUGCAAACAACUGCAAUUAACGCAUAACGGCUCCAUUUAACACAAUUUAGAGCUAUCAAUCCAUGGCCAAACAUAACCAUCAUAUGAAAACAGAAAAAUCCAAAAAAAAAUCAGAAAUUUAGCUAACUCCACUUUAAUCCAUGAAAUAUUCCAUAAAAUAACCUAGUUAGCUACCAUAAGUCACCAAUUUACCAUGAUUAGGAACAAAGAGGGAGUUUCCAAGCAAAAUACCUUGACACCUCAAGAAAGGUAGUAACUUAGGGGUUUCUCCUCCAAAACAACUCCACCAAGACCUUCAAACUCCCUUAGCAAGUCACUUUGGUGGACAAAUUCAAGAUUUAAUCGGUUGGAUUUCAAGAUUUAAUCAAGAAAUGGAAGAAGUAGUUGAAGCUUUCUUUUCUUUUCUCUCAAGGAGAGGUUCGGCCAAGAGGUUGGAAAUGAAUAUGGUUUCUUGGUCAAAAUUGAAGUUUUUAGUAAAAGUAAGAAAGUUAGGUAAGUCCAACUUUGACUAGGUAAGGAACACUUGGCACUUUGUUGUUGCUUGAAGUUAUUUUCUUGUCUCCCUAUGGUUAAUCCAUCUAGGUAACCUCUAAUUAUUUCUUAAUACCCUGUAAAAUAAUAUCUCUUAAUACAAAAUUCAAUUAAUCGCCAAAAAUUUUAUCAUACUAAGCGCACUAGUGGGUCCCACGCCUCUAAUGCACUUCAAAUUGAACGUACACUAACUUAUAUCAGAAAAAUGAUUUAAAAAUUGUACUUACUUAUAACAUAUAUAGAAAAUGUAAUAUUUUAAAGGAAAGUAAUAAAAAUGUAGGCAAAAAAAUAAAAUAAUGCCUGUAAAAUGUGAAAAUUUUCAGGUUAUCACACUCUCUCCCCCUUAAAGAAAUUUCGUCCUCGAAAUUUUCUUAUGAACGGGAUCUAUUAAAAUCUAACGUAAAUGGCAGAUCGUAGCUUCUAUGUUCUCAGACGGGUCAGGGGCUUGAUGUGACUCUAGGGAAUACACCUGAGUCGACACAUUCGGUCCAGUCCCUUCCCCCUUCAAUUGGUUAGAGUUGGUCUUGGUUGAUUAUCGAUUUCUACUCCCUUCUCGAGAUUUGCCUGGGCAAUUAGCGAUUUGAUGAUCUGCACUCCCGCAACGUAGACAUUUUCUUCCUUUCUUCCAGCAGACAUCCUCCGUGUGAUUCGGUUUUCCACAGUACCCGCAGGGACCAUGAGAAGCAGAGCCCGAGCCUCUCUGUGAAGCAUAACUUGACAUUCCAGGAAAUCUUAACCCUCCAGUUCCCUUUCCAAGCUUGGGAGGUGUACUCGUAUCCUCUUGUCCCAUGCUACUUCCAGGAAUAGCUCUUUUCUUCGCCUGAAAGGUUCUAACUUGCAACCUCGCGCUUUUAACUCGUUGAGCUUUUUCCACCGCGUCACUGAAGGCACUCAGUUGGGCUACAGCCAGAUCCUUCUGAAUCUCAACAUUUAAACCCUGGACAAAACGCCUUAUCCUCAUUUGUUCAGUCACGAUCAGGUCGGGAGCAAAUUUCGACAAUCUAGUGAACUAGCUCUCAUAUUCGGCGACAGUUUGAGCUCCCUGGCGAAGCCUAAUGAACUCAUCUUCUUUAUUUUCUUAAAUUAGGGGUGGGAAAUACUUCGCGUUGAACUCUAUCAUGAAGUUCGCCCACGUUCUCGGUGUUUGUGCUCUUUCCCAUUUCAAUCUUAUUACAUUCCAUCAAGAACGGGCUGCUCCCUCCAGUUGGAAGACAGCAAAUGUCACUUGUCUUUCCUCAGUAUAGUGCAAUGCCGCAAAAAUAUCAAUCAUCUUCUCUAACCACCGCUCGGCCACAUCAGGGUCUGGUCCUCCAAGGAAUUUCGGUGGGGAGAACUUCUGAAAUCGGUCGAGGGCCCUAUCCUCCCCCUCUAUAUGGUUACCAGGGUUUCCAGGUUGAGGAAUAGGGUUUUGGCCCUGAUGCUCUACUACGUGAGCUAAAAGAUCAGUCAUGCGCUAGAUAGCCGCAGCUACCUGAACGUUAGGAUCCACUCUAGGUUCAGGGUUGGGUUCAGACAUUGGUUCCUGAUUUCCCCCUUCAUUCGAGGGUUGCCUACGUCCACGGCCCCGGCCUCACCCACUACGAGUUUCUUCCAUUGGAUUAACUAAUCUAGGCUCGAGGCGUGAAUACAAGAUACAAACUAGCGAGGUCAGUUAGUCAGACAUACAUAGAAUACGUCCGCAUCAAUUCAAAAGCAAAUAUACAUAUAACACGACUAUAUCAAACAAAUCACACAGUAACAGUCAGCCAGAUACAAGCAAAGGAAAUCCUAUGAAAAUAAGGGGGUCAUUCCAUAGUACAUACUACGAACUAGACCAAGAGUACAAAAGCAACUAACGAAAAGCUUCCCCCCCCCUAAGGUUCCAUCCGUAAUCUACAAGAAAUCACAAUUUAUCUCUUAGGCAGGGUUAAUCAUUCACGCAUCAUACAAAGUUUCGUAGAAUCAGAUGUCUAAUUCGCCCAAGUCAUUUCUAACCUAGGCUUUCAUCCCUUUUCGUAUUCGGGUACAAGAAUCCAAAAUAAGAUAAUUCACCACUCGAGCUGGCCAGUCCCAAGAGUAAAUCAUCUACAUUUGUAAUUCCUACCUGACAUACGUAUCUAUAAUCUCCAAGUACCAGAAUAAUGUUUUGAAACCUAGAAUACACCGUGAUUCAUAGCUUAUGCUCAAAAGAGUACUUAGUCCCUUAUACUCAUUCACAUGAGCGAGACCACAACACCCCUUGGCCUCAAGCUCACUCCGCGCAGAGACCACGCGAAGCAGCUCUAAUAUCACCUGUGACAGCCCUAUCUCACCCUAAGGCGAACUAAAGGGUUCGGCGGACCGCCUGCCCAACUCUCUCCGGGACUAUGGAUCUGGAACAAACGUAAUCCCUACCAAACGCUCAGAAGGGUUUCGAGAAGAUAAACAUUUAGAACCCAAUUGAGCCGAACUAAAAGAUAUAAUCAAUCUUUGGUACAACGUUCCCACGAAAAUCAAAACGAAAUGGAAGUACCGCCAGGACUACUAAGCUAAUCACACCCUGAAAAACUUGUUCCGAAAGAUAAUAUAGUGCUCGAUCACUACAACGACCGUUAAAAGAAACAAAACAAGCCGCGGAUGAACAGUGACUGCCACGUCACAAUCCGGCCGGAACCCAAUCGAAUACAGAAAACGUUAUAUAACUCUAGAGAAUAAACCUUUCCAAACCAAAUAAAAAGCAUGAACAUGAUUAAAUAGUUUUAUAUACAUACGUUUGUAAUUUACAAAUCAAAAGGAAAAUAUUUGGAUCAAAGUACAUUUAGGGUUUUCCAACUCCCGAGGAGCUAUACAAAAGAGUAUUUAUACUAGCUCAUUUCAUUCUUCAAAAUAUCGAAGUUCCAAAAGAUGGUUCCCUGCAAGGAAAACAAGGAUAACGGAACGGGGUGAGCCAGAAGCUCAAUGAGGUACCCAAAAGUAUAAACAGUAGAAAUCAUGAGGAAUCUGUGACAGCCCCACCUUCCCCUAAGGCGAACCAAAGGGGUUAGCGGACUGCCUGCCCAGCUCUCGCCAGGACUACGGGCAGUUACACGUGAUCUAUAACGUUUCGGGAAAAUAAAAGCGCGCUCGAACAAGCCACAAGAACCAAAAUAACAAAAUACGAAGGAAAAUGAAUACGAUGAAUCAUGCCUGGAAUAGUGGAAUCCGAGAUCCCACCAAACCUUAAUACAUAGCAAUUCAACAUUUACAACCACAUUGGCAUGUCAAAAGCGAUACAUAAGGGAUACACAUAUUCGGUUUGCCAUUCAAACAAUGAACCCAAUACACAUUAGGGUUUCAUGCAAAGAGCUACAAAAGAGACAUAUACAAGGCUCAAUUUGGCAACCAACAAGUAUGAGCUUCCAAAAGUGCUUAUUUUCCUGUAAGGAAAACAAAUGGAAUGGUGUGAGCUAAAGCUCAGUGAGCAACUAUCACACAAUCAACCCAGAUCACUUGAACAUAAUCGUUCAUUGCAAAUAUUCAAAUAAGAAGUAAAACAAUUCAGUAAAAGGAUACGGUCGGCUCUCAAGAGCCCAUUUCCACGCUACAUGCUUGAUCUAACUCAAUUGACCCUCCGUCAAUAUUAAAAGUACCAAACCGUAGACCUCUCUUCACUUCCAUUCCUUCCACCCAACAUUCCCCAACCGGGCCCGCACUCCAUUCAGUCAUUUUGGUAAUACUCGAGUACACCGGAACCAAGGGUCUCAUUACCACAAGAUUCCCAUUUCAGUCCCCAUGGCGAGUCAAUUUUCACGACCAAGCCCUCGCUGGCUCGAUUCAAUUGAAUGCCAACGGGGUCGAGCUCAGUACAGUAGGGCCGUUGGAUACUCGUCCAACCAACACCCAAACAAUUUCCAUGAAUGAAAUCCAAGAAUUCAUAUAGCAGUACAGUAAUACAGUAAAACGGUAAACAAUCGGUCACAAGAAUAAAAUGAAUGAGGGCGGUUAAGUACACCCUCACCCUAAUCAUUUCCAAUAGUCAAACAAGCCUUCAAGGCAUCACAAUCACAUAGAGCAAAGCCACAUUAUAAAUCCAAGUGAGUAGUAUACUCACCAAUCGAUAAAAUGAUGUUUCAUGCACCGUCGUUAAACGAACGUCGUGCACCACCGUUUCCUCCUAGAACAAGUAAACAAUUACCAUAAGACUCGAUAACGAGUCAUGAAUCAACACUAAUCACAACCCAAUAGGGUUUCAUAUACAUAAACAAGCAUCAUAAGCAAACCAGAAAUUAGAAGUAGCACUAGCCUUGGCCUCGAAUAGAAAAACUGUUUUGCCCUUAUUAUGCGGUAAUGGCGUCAAAUUCACUACGGUUAUCGGAUGGGGGUGUAAGAUCCACCGUUUCGAAGCUAUGAAACAGGGAUACAACAAUGAAGAAGGCCUCUCAGUCCAAAUCCUAGCACAACUAGGUCAAAAAUGCAGAAAACCAAGCCAGAACCGUAAUUGCAGGUUCCCAAAUCACACAAAACUGUAAUCAGUCUAUCUCAGCCUACACAGGUCCAAAUGCAUUGAUUCCAAAGGCAUAUGAAAGCUAAGACAUCAAGAUACAUUUCAUCAGAAGACACCAACAACAAAAUCCAAACCAAUUCCAGUCAAAACAGGCAAUUACUAUCGCAGUUCGGACAUUCUGUUCACCAAAAACAGCAACAGUAAAAACGGCAUAACUCACUCUAUACUACUCCAAAUACCCUGAAAUUUUUCAGGCACUUCAUACUCAUCAAUACCUACAACUUUCAUGUUUUGAGAAAAGUCCAAUUCGGCCUCUAUCUAUGACCUAAAAUUUCGGACAGAUUAGGGGUUCAUGAACCCUAACUUUCCAUUUUCCAUCCAAAUCCAAAAUUGAUUGCAUUUCUCAACAAUUCCCACCUACUAGAGUCAUUUUAAACCAUUACCAUUCAGCAUACAAGGCCACAACAUCCCAUUCAUAUUAAACCAGCAAAUUCAUCAUAAAAUGGAAAACUUCACCAAAACUCUUCAAAUCAAGAAAUAAAUCAUAUAUUCCAUCACUCAAGCUACUUCUAAGCAUAACAUAAACAUCAUAAGGUGUAGUAGAGUGUUCUAGCAUCACUUACCAAGUAACAAGAGAGAUAGGGAUUGUGGACACCUUGGCUCUUCAAAACAACUUCCACCAAACUACUUACUAGCACUAGAAGAAAGGUUUUUAUGGAGUAGAAUCUAUUCUAGGUGAUUAGUUGUGGAAGAUUGAGUGAAAUGGAAGCUAGAAAGUUGAAGAAUUUCCUUCCUUCUUGCAAGAGAGAGAGCCGGCCAACACAAGGUAAGAAAAUGGUAAUUUUUUUGUGAAUUUUUGAGAUAUUUACUUCCUUGGGUCAAAAGUCAAAAUAGUAAAUAGUCUUUCUUAAGUCAAAUCCAAUAACGAUGUGACACUUGUCACUCUGAUAAAUGCAAUCCUAUCUUUUCUUUUACCUCUCACAUCAAUCAUUUCACCCACUCUACUUAUCUCUAAACACCCGAUAAAUUUUUCACAGUAUCCGAAACUUAACCGUAUUGGCCGAAUUUUCCCGAACUUUUCGCACUCGUGGGUCCCACGUCCAAUAUAUAUUCUUAAUUUUCUAAAAAUUCUCCAAUACUAGAAAAAGCAUCUAAAAAUCAUAAUUGCUCAUAAAAUCCACCAAGAAAAUAUUCCUAGGCCAGAAAAUGCAGAAAACAUGAAAUUUAAGGGGGGGAAAAACCCUAGGAAAAUAUUAGGGCAAAUCUGGGUUCUCACAGAAUCACUUUUAGGGCACAUAUACACAUCAAAUAAGAGAAUGAACACCACAAAUUAAAGGAUACAGGUGGCUCUCAGGAGCCAACUUCCCGUUGCAAUACUUGAUCCAACCUCGUUGACCCUCCGUCAACGUUGAAUGAAACACACAUGUCCGUAGACCCCGCUUACGCCAAAAUCCCGUUUACCAAACAUACCCCUUACCGGGCCUGAACGCCAAACAAGAAUAUGAAUGGUAAUACUCGAGUAUACCGGAAAUCUAGAGUCUCCAAUACCCAAAGAUUUCCCAGGAACAGGCACCCAUGGAUUGUCAAAUUUUCUCGACCAAGCCCUUGCUGGCUCGAUCCAAUUGACUCCCCAUGAGGUUGAGCUCAGAUUUAAUAGGAAGGUCGUUGGAUGUACUUUCAAACGACAUUAUAAUAGGCGCAGGUAACAGAUUCAAGUAUAUACAGGAAACAAGUCACACAGGCCAGAGAACGAGUGCGAUAAAGUACACACUCGUCUCGUACAAAAUAAACAGUCGGUAAGGACAUUCAAAUAGCAAUUUGCAAGUACAGAUAACCAGUUUAGCAAUAAUUCAGGGAAGUGGUACACUUACCAGUUAAAGCAAGGAUACUUCAAAAGUUUCAACCAAAGUAGGGCUCUAAUCACCAAGAAACCUUAGAAUAACCAAGGUAAACAAUUAUGGUUCCCACAGCCACAAAUCCAGUAAAUAAAAUGCACAAAUGAGGCUUGAGUGCAAGUCGUAGACCUCGCCAAAUAAUUACCCAUGCAAGUGUGUGAAACAUGAUUUUGGACAGAUAACAUGAAGACCUAGGGCUCGAACAACCCCAAAAGCCCUUCUUAUAUGUAUCCCAAACUAAACCAAACUCGAAGAAAUCCAACACUCCCAAAAUUUGGACCGCAUAUCCCCUAUAUUUCCUUACUUUUUCAUCCUACAAGCAACACCAAUUCAUCUCAAAUCAACCACAUACACAUCAUAGACUAUAAAAUACACCUUUCGGCACAAUAAGCACAACUGAAACUACACUUAUCGGAUUGAAACGAAUCUUAUGGCGUUUCGAAGCUAAAACAUAUACCUACAUUUCUUAUGAGAUCUCCAAAGCCAAAUCAUGCAUUUUCAUGGUAAAAAAUGGAAAUCCCCACGAAAACAGAAAUCUGUCCGCGAAACAGGGCUCAUGGACAGUCAAGGGUAUUUCAGUCAUUUCACAUGAUACACUACUUGGAUCGAGCUGAAAUUUUGUAGGCAUCUAGUUAACACCAUUUGCUACAACUUUUAUGUUUUAACCUAAGCCUGAUUCAGCCUCUAACAUGCAUGAAUAAAGCCGGUCAGAACAGGGCAGAUUGGAACCCUAAAACUGAAAUUUCGGCACAAAACUGAAAUUUUCCGCAAACAACCGCAAUUAACGCACAACGGCUCCAUUUAACACAAUUUAGAGCUAUCAAUCCUUGGCCAAACAUAACCAUCAUAUGAAAACAGAAAAAUCCAAAAAAAAAUCAGAAAUUUAGCUAACUCCACUUUAAUCCAUGAAAUAUUCCAUAAAAUAACCUAGUUAGCUACCAUAAGUCACCAAUUUACCAUGAUUAGGAACAAAGAGGGAGUUUCCAAGCAAAAUACGUUGACACCUCAAGAAAGGUAGUAACUUAGGGGUUUCUCCUCCAAAACAACUCCACCAAGACCUUCAAACUCCCUUAGCAAGUCACUUUGGUAGACAAAUUCAAGAUUUAAUCGGUUGGAUUUCAAGAUUUAAGCAAGAAAUGGAAGAAGUAGUUGAAGCUUUCUUUUCUUUUCUCUCAAGGAGAGGUUCGGCCAAGAGGUUGGAAAUGAAGAUGGUUUCUUGGUCAAAAUUGAAGUUUUUAGUAAAGGUAAGAAAGUUAGGCAAGUCCAACUUUGACUAGGUAAGUGACACUUGGCACUUUGUUGUUGCUUGAAGUUAUUUUCUUGUCUCCCCAUGGUUAAUCCAUCUAGGUAACCUCUAAUUAUUUCCUAGCGCCUUGUAAAAUAAUAUCUCUUAAUACAAAAUUCAAUUAAUCGCCAAAAAUUUUAUCGUACUAAACGCACUAGCGGGUCCCACGCCUCUAAUGCACUUCAAAUUGAACGUACACUAACUUAUAUCAGAAAAAUAAUUUUAAAACUGUACUUACUUAUAACAUAUAUAGAAAAUGUAAUAUUUUAAAGGAAAGUAAUAAAAAUGUAGGCAAAGAAAUAAAAUAAUGCCUAUAAAAUGUGAAAAUUUUCAGGUUCUCACAAGGUACGACUGAUUUCUUUUUUUUUUUUUUAAACAACUCAAGACUCAAGACAACAUGACAAUGAUUAAGAAUAAAAAUAAGUCACAGACUAAAUUUUGGGUAACAACAAGAAAACUAGAAAUGGACAACAACCAAGAACACAACUAGAGAUAGGAAACAAAACCCUAAGUCCCAAAUAGAAUUUUUUUUAUUCGGAUGAAUAGUAACUCGGAUGAACAGUGACACUAUGGUAUGACAAACAGUAACGCAAUAGGAAUGAUGAACACUAAUCACUACAUUUACAUGAAUAGUACCCAAAAUUUUUUUUGAUGGCUCAAUAUAGGGUUAUGACUUCGCUUAGAAGAAAUUUAAUGGGAGUUAAACUUUUGAAAAACCUAUUUCCAAGAACAUAAUCACACCAAGAAAUUCUAACAUCGAUCAAUCAAGGGAGUAGGUUAGACUCAAACGAUAAAAUCAAGAAAACAUGAAUCAAGAAUUUUUUUUGUUUCUUUUGAAUCAAAAGGCGGCUAGGGUUUUUGGUAGAAAAACAAGAAUAGAGAAAAAAAGGAUAUUAACUUGGAUCAAGAGCCAAAACACUGAUAGCAACUGAAACGAAUUCGAUUCUCUAAGGAUUGCUCGAGAAGAAAUCGAAUCGAUCUGGCAAUGGAAGGAUCUAUCUCAAUCAGGUUAUGGACACAAAAGAGCUUCAACCCGUUGAUCACGUGGACAACGAAUCUUGGUAUAAAGGAUGGAACCUAACUCGAUCAGAGACCGCACAAGACGAAUUAAGAUUGAUAGGAAGGCGCCACAGUCAAAUGCGUCUUUGAUUGAUAAGCCAUAGAUGAACACUCAAGAACCCAUCUCAAGUAUUCCAAAGGAAGUCGAUGACAAGCCAAGAGAAAACUCUCUAAAACAACGUCAAUUCUUCUCCCUUUUGAAUGGAACGAUACAAAUAUUUAUAACCCUAUUAUGCCUAGACUAAUAGAUUCAACUUAACUUACCUAAUACUAAUCAACUUACUCACAGCCCAAUUAAGAAACUUAUUGUUGGCCGAUUAAUAUACAAGGAAAUAACUAACAAAACGACUCAAUUAACCAACGAACUUGAUAACUAAUUUAGAUCCAACUCAACAUGAGAUCUUGAAUCAAAUUUAUUCCUACCAAAUUAACUAGAAAUCUGGAAAAUAAACUACUAAGCUAUUAAUAAAAACUCGAACUACUUGAAGUUUGAAAUAUGGCCCUUAAGCAGCCCAUAUGCAGCCCAUAUUUCGCAUCAAAUUUUCAUUUAGAACUAUAGCAAAAGGUGGGUUAAAACGCGGGCAUUCUUUCUUCUAACUUAAACAUUUUAUCCCUAGUAUUUUCCUUUGAACUUUUGGAAUAAUCUAUUUUUUUUGUUUAACAACACCCUAAGGAUUGCAAACCCCGCAUUGGGGCAAAAUUUAUUUUUAUUAUUAUUAAAAAGGAGAGAGAAAAAGAAAGAGGAGAAAAAAAGAAGAAAAGAAAUAAAAUAAAGCAAAAAAAUGAAAAAUAGAAAAAAGAAAAGAGAAGAGAAAACCUAGUAAAAAAAUAUUAUUAAACUGGGAAAUUUUUCAUUAGCCAUAUAUUGGGGCAAAUUUUGAAAAUGCGAUCCCAAAAUUAUUUUAAACUCCUUGUUAGAUCUGUUUUCAAGUUCUAACCUUUAUUCCAUUUGACCCCAUUACAAAAGUCAAAAUGUUACUAACCUCUGCCUUUUGCACUAUUUCUGAGAGUAAAUUUCUUAAUCAAAUAAUAAAUGAUGUAAACAUACCUUCACUAAGUUUUGUGAGGGGAAGAUUGUCUCACUGAUACCAUCAAUCUUGAAACAUAUAUCUGAUUUGAUAAGGGCAGCAGUUAAGAUUGUUGAUCUUUUCUUGAAAUUUUGUCCAUGUCUUUAGGUAAAAACCCCAAAAGGCACCCUUUCAAGAACAAAGAAAAAAAGAGAAGAAAUAAAUAAGAAAAAAAGAAAACAGAAAAAGAAGAAAAAUAAAAAUGGGUGGGGGUAACCUUAGUAAAAAUAUGAAAGAGUUCUAAGGUAAGGUCUUGAAAUACAAGAAAGUCAUGAAUGGAAAGCAAAAGAUCGAACAUUAAAAAGUUGAUGACUAUGUUCAUUUGAUUUUCUCUUUACAUUGUUAUUCUUUUGCCGGCAUUGAUGAUACGACUUACGCCCUAUCGUAGACAUAACCUGCACACAACAAGCCACAGGAUCUAGAAUUGGUGUAUCUACAAAUUCUACCAAUUAACUACAAUUUAAUAUGAAAAAACUGUUACACAUUGGAUUUUCAACCUCUUUUUUCUUAAGGUCUUGUAGCCUAUAAAUAGUGACAUUCUCUUUAGAAUUUUACACACACUUCUCUCAACAAAAGAUCAUUCUCAAAUACUAUCCUCCUCACACUCAUUUCUUUCUCCCUCAUUCUGUUUUCUUUGGGCAAAGAAAGAUAUUGGGAAGCUUCUGAUUCUCUUGGUUGUGCAGAUCAAAGGGAAGUAACAACUAUAGAGUUGGGUUGUUGUAUCGUGGAGAUGGCGCGCUAGACCUACUGCAUCGGUUUGAAAAGUACCGUGGGGGCGCGUAUCAUCUUAAAGAGAGCGUUCUACGUGCCUCAGUCCUACCGAACUUUUUAGUAGCUGUCAAUUCCAAGGUGGUUAGUUUUGAAGAUAAGAAAUUGUUCGUGUACUCUCCUCCAACAACAAGUGGACCAGAUUUGGUUGAUUGUGAAGUGUGGUUGGAUCAUGGGAUUCAAGGUGCAAAACGAGGCCCUAUCAAGAUUCGCACGUGGUGGUUUCAUGUUGGAAGGUGUUUUUGCUCGUGACCAUCACAAGUUUGACCCGACGGCAUCCAACUUGUCUUGUAAUAAUUCACAUCUUCCCAACAUUGCUAUCAUACAAUGAUUUGUGGACAAAUCGCUUUCAGGAGAAGGGGAAUGAUAUGAUAUCUAGUUCGUAAUGGGAUCAUUCAAGUCUAUGGGGCACAAGUUUAGUUGUUAGAUAUAUUAUUUACUAGAUGAUUAGUUAAGUAAUUAUUAGUUGCUUGAAUAAAGAAUUCAAACCAAGCCUCAAGUACUUGUAUCCGAUUCUAGUUCUAGUUGGAAGCCAUCAUUUAAGUCGUUAUUUUUGUUGCAUUAGGAGACACUUCAUUCGGCCAGAUUAGGUAAUUGCCUUAGCCGAUUCAAUUGUCCUAGUGUAGGUAGGUUUAGGUCGUGUCAAAAGCCUAUAAAAAGGCUCAAGUACUUGUUACGUUUUAGAGAAGUCAAAUUUUAAUAAAGAAUUUCCAGAAUUUUCUUUCUUGUGAAAAAGAGUUCUUUUUACUUGUGAAAGACGCCCUUGAGCAUUUUAGAGUAAUUCUAAGGUGAUCUUCGACUUAUUAAUCAAGUAAUCCCCUUGAUUGUGGCAUCGUUCUAUCCGUCUUUAUCUUUCUUGAGCAGUCCAAGAUUGAUUAUGGACUUCCAUCCCCAAAUGUUGAACCUUAAUUCCAAAUUAGGGCUUGUGGUUCGCGAUCUUGAUUCUUCUUGGAUGGUCGAGACUCGUAUCAGUAUUCGAGCCUAGUAUUUUAGAACUUGAGCUCAACUCAAUUUUGUUACUCAAGUUACUCGAACUGGAGUUUGAGCUCAACAAAAUCAAGUCGAGUCAAGCUAUUUUUGAGUCGAGCACUGAACUACUCACAAGUAGUUUGGUUCACUUACACCCCUACUUCUUAUUGAUUAAAAUCUCCCACAUAAAUCCUUUAUAUUUUGGACUGGUUUGGAAAUUGGAUGGAAAUCAUCCAAACCAACGGAAUAAUUUUAAAUGUCUAUAUUACUCUUAUCUUUUCAUUUUUGUAUUUUUUAAACAUAUUUAGCACUUUUCUUCAACUUUAUUUUCUUUUAUUUUCUUUCUUUUUCUUAUUCUUGUCUUCUUCUUUCAUUCGUCUUUUGCAACCAUGGCACAUUUGCUAGCAACCCCACCGAUUGCUGUCGACGGCCACUAGUAACGGCCACCACUUUGCAUUAAUUAACAAAAUUUUAUAAAAUUUACACCUCUUAUGCCGUUUUCAUGUGGAACUCGAUUCUGACUUUAGAUUUGCAAAAAGUGAUUAAAAAAGUGUCAAAUAACCCAAAUCAGAUUUGGCCCUUCACCAUCUUCUUCUCACACAACCACAAAAAUCUUAGAUAUCUAUAAGGAAAAAUCGUUCAAAACGUCCCUCACAUUUUGCAAAAUAAAUUUUUUCGUCCCUCACUUUUAAAACUAUAAUUUUACGUCCCUUACAAAUUCACAUUAAUUAAAUUUGGUUCCUAUCUAGAUUUUUUACUAGUUUUUGGUCGAAAUUCAUCACGUACCUUGCACGCAAUCAUUUUUGAAGGGCAAAAUUGUCAUAUCAAAUUUUACACAAUUCGAUCUAUAGUCCCCUAUAUUUCAGAAAAUAAAUUUUUUUGUCCCUCACAUCUAACAAAAUGAAUUUUUUCAUCCGACAUAUAUUAUGUGUAUGAAUAAUUUUUUUUAAACAUAUAUAUGUAUUUAUUUGAUUUUACCUAAACAAUACGAAUAGCAUGUUUACAACUACAAUUAGCCUAUUUGGACGAAAUCAGAUAAAGAUAUAUUACAUACUAUUCAUACUGUUUCGGUGAAAUUAAAUAAAUAUAUACAUGAAUUUAAAAAAAAUGUUAGCUUUUCACUCAUGUUCAUUUUCUUUUACUCAAAAAAUGAAAACAAAGAAGAUAUUUAAUUCUAAAUAUUGUUGAGUGUUUAUAUUGAAUUAAAUUUGGACAAAAAAAUAAACAAAGAAAAAAUAUGACAAAAAGAAAUAAGUAAUUGACAUUUUCAAAUUUUAAAACAAUCACAAGGCAAAUAAUUCAACUUUUGGUCUUAAAGGUGGUGAGUAGUAAUUUUAGAUUUAAAUUGCAAUUUAUUAAUAUGAUUAUAGAAUUUGAAUUAUGACCCAUUAAUUAGAUGGUCUUAUCAUACAAUUCAAUAAAUGAAUUAUUAUUAAAAGAGAAAAGGUCACAAAUAUUAACAAGUUCACAUGGGGAAAUCAAAUAGAUUUAUACAUGGGUUUAAAAUAAAAUUGUUAGUUUUAAACCCAUGUAUAUAUGUAUUGAAUAAUAUGUGUAUAAUUACAAUUAACUUGUUUAUAGGUGAAAUCAAAUAGAGAUAUAUUACAUGUUAUUCGUUCUAUUCAAGUGAAAUCAAAUAGAUAUAUAUGUGGGUUUAAAAAAAAAAAAGCUAUACAUACAUAUAAUUAAUGAGGGGUAAAGAAAAUUCAUUUUGUGAAAUGUAAUAGACGAAAAAAUUUAUUUUGUGAAAUUUGAGGGACUAUAGAUCAAAUUACAUAAAAUUUGAUUUGACAAUUUUAUCUCUAAAAAAUAAUCAUAUAUACGGCACGUGAUAAAUUUUGACAAAAAAUUAGUCGAAAACUUAGAUAGGGACCAAAAUUGACUAAUAUAAAUUUAUAAGAGGGAUAAAAUUAUACUUUUAAAAGUUAGUAACAAAAAAAUUAUUUUAUAAAAUGUGAAGAACAUUUUAAACGAUUAACCACAACUAUUAUAAUUUUCCCUAUCUGUAAAUUUAGAGCUCCAAUCCAAAAAAAAAAACCCACAACUAUUAUUAACCCCAACAAUCACUACCAUACACUAAUGCAGAAGAAGGUUGGUGGCUUCGAGGAUGAGGAUGACGAAUCAGUCUCUGAUCUCGUAUGAAGGCAGUCACCAGAUUUGGAAUUCAUCCAAGGGUUUUAGGCAGAUGAAUUUGGAGCCGAGCAAGAAAGGAGGGCAGAGGAAAUAAAUGGAGAUAUUUGGUGCGCUGAAAAAGAAGGAAAAGGUGAAAGAAAAAGAAAAGAUUUGUUUUUUAAUCUGGGGUUUGGGCAGAUGAUUUGAAAAAAUGAAAAGAUCUCCCGAUACAUCUUUAUCUGAUUCUUCAGGUUUAGAUCAGAAUCUGUUGAUGCUUCAAGUCCAGAUCAGAAUCAAGUUACCCCAUGGAUGGAUAAAUGGAUUCUUUUGAAUCAGAUUUGGGCACGAGGGAUAAUUCAAAUUUUGGGUUAAGUAAACAUGUCAUCUAACUCCUAGGGGCUGUAUUUCUGUCUUUCCAUUUCGUGUGUAUGUGAAUUAGGUAGACGACACUCCACGAAUCACAGGAACCACCUGCUUGCCAAAAACAUGUUGGUGCGGUAGAUUCCCCUGCUUUUGUAUUAGAAUAGAUUAGACGUUUAUAUACAGUUUCUUCAGUUCCUGCUCCCCUUUCUUUAGAUUAGGUUAUAAAAAUGUCAUUGUCAUAAAAAAGGGUGCUUCAAAGAAAAAGAAAAAAAAAAAAAAAAGAAAAGAAGGAGAGAAGAUUUUGAAAAAAGAAAGAAGUUUGACUUUUUUCUAAAAUGAAAACAACUUUAUUGUUAAAAAUUUAAUUUUUAUCACAUAUACUUGCACACAAGGCGAGUGUGCUAUACUCUCCGUUAUUUUGGAUGGAUUUCAAUCCAAAUUCCAAAUAAGUUCAAAACGCAAAAGGUUAUGUGAUGAUUUUUAAACAACAAGGAGGUAUUAUAACCAAAUUCCAAAUCACAAGGGAAUUUUUUAUAUUUUAUCCUAUUAUAUUACUUGAUGUCAUUUUUAAAAAUAUUUUAACACCUACAAAAAACUUUCGACAAGGAGAAGUUUGGGAUAAGAAUGCGUGUGAAAAGCAAGAUGAAGAAGCAUGAAAAGGAGAACAAGGCUCCAACCCGGUUAGUCCAACUAGUUCUCAGGGGAAAUUAGUCCCAAUCGGUUGGAGCCACCUUUUAACUUUUUCUAAGGUGAACUUUCAUUUCCAAUUCUAAUUUUGACGUGGAUCUCUUCGGGGCCUAUAUAUACUUCAUGAUGGACGGGACAUAAUUUUAGGCAUAUUUUGGAGUCUAUUGAUAAUGUAGAUCUCCAUUUAAAAACAAUUUUUAGCUCAGUAUAUGUUAAAGUAGUUUUUCUUCUAGUACAUCUUAGUUAGGGGUCUUACCGAAAAUUAGAGAAAGAAAAAGGAAUCUUGGAUAAUAUUUUCUUUUCUCUUUCUUAAUCUUUAAUAAAUUUCAUAUAUUUCUUUUCUUUUAUUAUUUUUGUCUUUAAUUUAAUUAUGAGUAGUUAAUUACUUGUUUCAGGGUAGGGUCAGAUGGAUUCAAUUACAUCUUAAUUCAUGAUGUUACUUUAUUGAUUGGUGAAUCUUAUGCAUGCUAUUUCAUAUAUUUAUUUUUCAUCUGUAUAAUUAAAGAUUCAUUAGUUUUGAAGUAUCUAAGAUAUCAACCUAAAGUUUUUAAUUGAUAUAAAUUGGCAAAGGUAAGAAUUUUAUUGUGUAACUCACGAAAGUAGAAAUGGAGCAAAUGAAGCUGAAGUUUGGAAAGGUAUGUGGGGAUUAAAUAUAAAGCACAAGAUAAAGCACUUUAUUUGGAACUGCCUAAAAAAUAUUUUGCCAACCAAUGAAGCAGUUAGCAGAAGAAUUCGUAAAGGGGGAAGUGAACGUAAAUGUUGUGGAUGUGAAGUAGAAACAAUUGAAUAUAUGCUAUUUUUUUUGUGAUCAUGUACAGUUUGCAUGGAAAGUAUUUCCAAUCCAGUGGGAAGGCCUUCAGGAGGAGAGAGGGAAUUUCUGGAAAUGGUGGGACAAAUUGCAGUAGUCCAAGGAAAGAACUAACGGAGUAGCGUAACUGCCAACUUCCUCUUUCAGAUUUGGAAAGCCAGGAACGAUAGGAAUUUCAAUGAUAGAACUUGUUCCUUUCAAUUACUGGUCGACAAAUCUGUCAGAGAAUGGAGAGAGUUUAAAGAUGCACAGAAAGAAGAAGAUCCAAUGAGAGGAAUCAAGGACCGGAGAGAGCAAAUGGAGAUAAGGUGAUCACCACCACCCUAAGAUUUCAUUUAAAUCAACUCUGGUGCUGCAACCCAAAUCUAUCUGGAUAAGACAGGCUUGGAAAUUGUAGAAAGGAAUCACUAUGGAAAGAUAGUUGCAAAUGGGCGCAUCAAUUGAAUGGUAGAAUGGAAGCGGACCACAUGGAAGCAUGGGCACUAAGACUGGCAGUCUAAAAAACAAAUCAAGAAGGCUGGCUGAAAGUAAUUUUCAAUCAGAUUGUAAGCUACUAAUAGAUAGGAGUAACUCAGGCACAAUAGAUGGUAGCUAUGUCAGUGUAUUCUUACUAGAUAUUAUUGGGUUGAAGGAGGGAUUCGAAGAGUGUAAGUUCAGUUUUGUUAGAACACAAGGUAAUUAGGUCAGUCAUACUGUGGCAAAAUUUGCCUCUAAGUUGAAAUAUGAUGUCUCGUGAAAACAUUAAUUAGUGUGUUUGGAUAGGAGUUUAUAUGAAAUUAUUACUAUGGUAUUUUUUGUGAUGUGAUGUAUGUGAGAUAAAAAGGUAAUUGGAAAGAUAAAAAGGUGUAUUGAAAUUUGUGAAACAAAUUAUUUUUUCUCAAAUCAUCCCAAUCCAAACUUGAUUAUUGUUUCGCCCAUGGCUUGAAUCAAAGGCUAGGGAUAAUGUAAGGUUGUUACCCUAAAACAGUAUAGCUGUUGAUCAGUAUAUAAUACAAAUAUUUGUUGUUUCGAAAAAAUAAUAACACUUUAACUUGUCUUUGAUCAUGAAAGUAGAUUUAGGCUUGUUCAUGAGAUAAUUAAUGAAUACCGAAAGAAGGUAUUAUGAAUUAAGAAAAUUUUCCGUAAUUUUUGCACAAGAAUGAAUUAAUUAACCAAGUUAAGAUUUUCAACAAGGAUAAUUGAGGAAAUGUAGGUGACAACCCCACCUUCCCCUAAGGCGAACCAAAGGGGUUAGCGAACUGCCUGCCCAACUCUCGCCAGGACUAACGGUUCAGUUUAGAGCGACCUAAUACGUUCCGGAACAUACAAACGCGCGUAAACAAGUCAACAUCACAAAAAUGAAAAAAAAUGAAAAAACGGAGCCGGUCAUGGACAGUAACUGCCACGUCCGAAUACGGCCGCCAAAAAUUUUGUUUCGCCGUUUGAAAUCCGAAUCUGUCCGAAUUCUCGCCCAACAUCAAUCAAACAUUUAUACGUUGAAACUAAGCAUAUACAAUCCAAAGUGGCAUACAAAAGUUAUUCAAAAGUUUAUACAUGUACGGUUUGCCAAAUCAAAAGAGAAAACGGACCCAAAAGUACAUUUAGGGUUUCAAUCAAUGAGCUAUACAAAAGAUAUGUACAUCUAGCUCAAUUCGACAACCAACUAUCAAAUCCAGUCCAAAAGUAUUUAUUUUCCUGUAAGGAAAACAAAAGGGACAGAGUGAGCUUACGCCCAGUGGUAUACUAUCACUCAAGCAACCAAGUCAUAUAGGCAUAAAGCGGUCAAGAAAGAAAUAAACCAAGAUCACACAUUCACAAGAUGAGUAAAAGGAUACGGACGGCUCUCAAGAGCCCCUUUCCUCGCUCGUAUACUUGAUCGGACUUCAUUGACCCUCCGUCAAUGUUUACAAAGUAACCAACCGUAGACUCCACUUUACUUCCAUUCCUUCCACCCAACAUACCCCUACCGGGCCCGAACUCCAAACAGUAGAAAUUUGGUAAUACUCGAGUAUACCGGAAUCAAGAGUCUCACAACUACAAGAUUCCAUAUAACAGUCCCCAUGGCUCGUCAAUUUUCACGACCAAGCACUCGUCGGCUCGAUCCAAUCGACACCAAGCGAUUGGAUACUUGUCCAAGCGUCACCAAAUUCAUGAACCAAAUUCAGUAUUUCAUGUAUCAUUCAAUCAUUACAGUGAAACAGUAGACAGUCAUAUGAGAUACCAAAUGGGUGAGGGCGAUCAAGUACACCCUCACUUAAUCAAUUUCAACGGAGCAAAUAAGCCUUCAAGGCAUCAAGUUCACAUAUACCAAAGCCACAUUGUAAACAACAAGUGAGUAGUACACUCACUAAGCAAGCAAGUGAAAUUUCGUAAACUUCCGCCCAAAGAGCGUCUUUACUCACCGUCACGCCCUAGAACAUUCAAAUAAGCAUAAUAAGACUCAAUUACAAGUCAUAACCAAAUCCACAUACCACCAAAAUAAGGUUCCACUAGAAUGUAUAAGCACUAGAGUAAACCAGAGAAAUCCGGAAAUUGAAUUAAGAUCUAAUCCAAAAAAAAAUAGUUUUUGACAACAUUUUGCGGUUUUGGCACCAUUGGCACUACGAUUAUCGGAUGGAGGUGCAAGAUACACCGUUUCGAAGCUAACAGAUAGGGUUACAAUGUUACAGAAGAUCACUCAGCCCAGUUCAUAGUGAAACUAGGCCAAAAAUGCAGGAUACUAAACCAGAACCGCAAAAAUAGGUGAACAAACCGUAUUCUGGUUAAUAAACUGUAAGUCAGGCUACCUAAGUCCAAAUCAAGUGAUUCAAAAGCCAUUCGAAAGCUAAGACAUCAGUCUACAUUUCUUUAGAAGACCUCAACAACCAAUUCUGAAGUAUUUCCAACCAAAAUAACCCAUUACAGAAGCAAUUCUCAAGUUCGGGUGAAAAUUGGGCAGCAGGGGUAUUUCGGUCUUUUCACAAGCUACGCUACUCCGAUUGGUCUGAAAUUUUGAAGACAACUCUAAAAUAUCAUUCCCUACAACUUUCAUGUUUUAACCCAAGGCUAAUUCGGCCUCUAACUAUGAUGAACAGUGCCGGGCAGAAUUAGGGGAAAUGAAACCCUAACUUUCAAAAUUUCUUUCCAAAGCAGAAAUUUUCUGCAAUUAACCACACUUUACACCUUCUAACUUCCUUCAAUAUCAUUUCCAACCAUCAUACAUAGCCACACCAUAACAAUCAUAUUAAAACAGAAAUAUCAUGAUUAAAUAGAAAAUGUCAUCAAUCUCAACCAAAAUCAUGAAUUAACACCAAAGAUCAUUACUUUAACUCACAUAGGUCACUAAUUAAACAUUAUUGGAAAGACAAGAGUAGUCUCUUAGUCACUCACCUUAUAAGACAAGAAAGGAAGCAAUUCAACACCUUAGCCUUCCAAACAACUUCACCAAUCAUCUCACAAUCACUAAGUGAAGAGGUUUUAUGGAGCAAACACAAAAUUAAACGGUGGAAAUUGAAGAUUGAGCAAAUUUGGAGCAAAGAAAUUGGAGAGCUUUUCUUGUCUUGUUGCUUGAAGAUGGCCGGCCACAAGAAGCAAAUUUUGAGUGAUUUUUGGUCAAUUUUUGAGUUAUUUUAAACAAAUGGUAAAAGGGUGAAUAGUAGUCAAAAGUAAGAAUUAACCUCUAAGUGACACAUGUCACUUUCAUUAAUUGCAUACCUAACCUUUUUUUCUCUCUCACACCAAUUCACUUGGUAACCUCUAAUUAUCUCAUAACACCCGGUAAUUAAAUCCAGUAUCCAAAACUUAACAUAACUGGCCGAAUUUUUCCGAACUUUUCGCACUAGCGGGUCCCAGGUCCGAUAUACGCUCUUAACUUCUCAAAAACUAACCAAUACUAGAAAAAUCAUCUAAAAACUAUAUUUACUCAUAAACAUUAUUUAGAAAAUUUUCUAAUAAAGAAAAUGCAUAAAAGGCGUGCGAAUAAUUAAAAUAAGGCCUAGAAAUAAGGAAAUUUACGGGUUCUCACACUCUCUCCCCCUUAAAAGAAUUUCGCCCUCGAAAUUCUCACCUUAACUCACGAAAAGUUCAGGGUAUUUCUUUCGCAUUUCUUCUUCCACCUCCCAGGUAGUCUCUUCUAUCCCAUGAUUUCUCCACUUUUCCCGAGCGAAAACAACUGCGACUAACUCCAGGUCGUGGGUUGGAUAGUUUUUGUUCGUGGGGUUUCAAUUUCUUAGAGGCAAAAGAUUUCACAUUCUGGUUUUGCGUCAACACACACCCCAAACCUUCUCUCCUACACAAACGCGGCAAUCCUUACAAACCAUACCAGUGCUCACACGAUGUUUCCCCAUAGGAGUACUACUUUCAGGUCGUCGGGUAGACGAGCAGGUUUUUGUAUCUAUUCCGUACAUAAAAUUGGGGUUGACAAAUGAAUGAGUAACACCGGGAUCUACUAAGAUUUUCGCAAAUCGGUGAAAUACCGAAAUCGUACCUUCCUCAAUUUCAGAAAAAUCGGGGACCUGUGGUGGCUCCAGUGAAUACACUCGAGCCGCUACCUUAGGUUUGGUCCCUUCCACCUUGGCCGGUUCGGAAUUAGUCAUCGUCGAUUGCUGACUCCCCUUUCCAUCUCGUGAUAGGACUGGACAAGUAGCGAGUUGAUGGUUUGCACUUCCACAGCGCAAACAUUUUCCCUCCUUCUUCCAGCAAUUGUCCUCCGCGUGGUUUGACUUUCCGCAAUACCCGCAAGGUCCGCGUGCUGCAGAAGCCGAGUCUCCUCUCUGGCCUCUCCCCACUUGGCCGCCUCGUGAUGGGUCCUCUCGUGACACUCCCGGCAUCCUUUCUUCUCCCAUUCCCCGCCCAAACUUGGAACGGGUACUCUCAUCCCCCUGCCCCGAACUACUUUCAGGAAAUCCUCGCUUUUUCGCCAGGAAGUUCCUCACCUGUAACCUAGCAUUCUCUACUCGUUGCGCCUUCUCCACUGCAUCACUGAAGGCGUUAAUUUGGGCUACCGCGAGGUCCUUCUGGAUUUCUACGUUCAGGCCCUGGACAAAUCGCCGUAUUCUUCGUUGCUCGGUCAUGAUGAGUUCCGGCGCAAAUUUGGAUAGGCGGGUGAAUUGGCUCUCGUAUUCCGCUACAGAUUGGGCCCCCUGACGAAGCCGAAUAAAUUCAUCUUCUUUCCGCUCCUGAACUAGAGGAGGGAAGAAUUUAGCAUUGAAUUCCCGCAUAAAAUUCACCCAAGUCUUGGGCGUUUGUUCCCGUUCCCAUUUUUGCCGAAUAACAUUCCACCAGGAACGGGCCGCCCCUUCCAGUUGAAAGACGGCGAAGGUCACCUGCCUCUCCUCCGUAUAAUGUAGGGCGGCAAAGAUAUCCACCAUCUUCUCUAUCCACCUUUCGGCCAUGUCCGUAUCGGGCCCCCCGAUAAACUUUGGUGGGGCAAAUUUCUGGAACCUCUCGAGAGCCCUAUCCUCGCUCUCCACGUGAUUGCCGGGGUUCCCAGGAUUGGGGUUAGGGUUUUGACCCUGUUGGUGCACCACUUGGGCUAGUAAAUUAGUCAUUUGCUGCAUAGCAGCCGCUAUUUGGAUGUUAUGAUCAACCCUAGGUUCAGAGUUAGGUCCAGAUGAGGUUUCCCGAGUGCCCCUUUCAGGCGUGGGUUGCCCACCCCCACGUCCACGGCUUCGACCACUACGAGUGCCUUCCAUCAAUCUAAGUCGAUCUAGGUCACAAAAUAAAUAUACUGUUAAAGGGCACCUAACCCUCCUUUUCGUAGCACUAAACAGGAACAAUUAAACAAGGACAAUUAACUAAAACAGCUACCUCGUAGAGCAUUUAAACACAUAACACAUAUACAUAGAACACAUAACCGGAUCAAGCAAUUUUACAGAACAGUCAGUCAAGUACAUACAAAAUCAUCCCAUGAAACAAAAGGGGUCCUCCAAAAGUACUAUAGACAGACCAGGUCACGAGUACAAAAGAACUCACGAAAAGCUUUCCCUCCCCCUAGGGCGCCGUCCAUAAUCUACGAGAAUAACACCAUUUAUAUCUUAAUCAAGGUUGAUCACGCUUAACCAUACCCGAACAAACCACAGAAAAUUUCAUAGAAUCGCAUUUCUAGUUCGCCCAAUCCUUUCUAACCUAGGCUCUCAUCUCUUUCGUAUCCGGGCGCAAGAAUCCCAUCUAAGAUGAUUCACAACUCGAGCCGGCCGGUCCCAAGCGUAAUUCAUCCCUAUUAAAGAUUCCUACCUGACAUACAUACCUAACUUCCUCAAGUCCCAUGAUAAUGAUCCUUACACUUAUGACAUGCACAGUUCAUAGCUUACGCUCAAAAGAGCACUUAUACCUUUCGACGCAUUCACGAAAGCAGGACCAUAACACCACUUGGUCGAAGCUCACUCCGCGUAGAGACCAUGCGAAGUAGCUCUGAUACCACCUGUGACAACCCCACCUUCCCCUAAGGCGAACCAAAGGGGUUAGCGAACUGCCUGCCCAACUCUCGCCAGGACUAACGGUUCAGUUUAGAGCGACCUAAUACGUUCCGGAACAUACAAACGCGCGUAAACAAGUCAACAUCACAAAAAUGAAAAAAAAUGAAAAAACGGAGCCGGUCAUGGACAGUAACUGCCACGUCCGAAUACGGCCGCCAAAAAUUUUGUUUCGCCGUUUGAAAUCCGAAUCUGUCCGAAUUCUCGCCCAACAUCAAUCAAACAUUUAUACGUUGAAACUAAGCAUAUACAAUCCAAAGUGGCAUACAAAAGUUAUUCAAAAGUUUAUACAUGUACGGUUUGCCAAAUCAAAAGAGAAAACGGACCCAAAAGUACAUUUAGGGUUUCAAUCAAUGAGCUAUACAAAAGAUAUGUACAUCUAGCUCAAUUCGACAACCAACUAUCAAAUCCAGUCCAAAAGUAUUUAUUUUCCUGUAAGGAAAACAAAAGGGACAGAGUGAGCUUACGCCCAGUGGUAUACUAUCACUCAAGCAACCAAGUCAUAUAGGCAUAAAGCGGUCAAGAAAGAAAUAAACCAAGAUCACACAUUCACAAGAUGAGUAAAAGGAUACGGACGGCUCUCAAGAGCCCCUUUCCUCGCUCGUAUACUUGAUCGGACUUCAUUGACCCUCCGUCAAUGUUUACAAAGUAACCAACCGUAGACUCCACUUUACUUCCAUUCCUUCCACCCAACAUACCCCUACCGGGCCCGAACUCCAAACAGUAGAAAUUUGGUAAUACUCGAGUAUACCGGAAUCAAGAGUCUCACAACUACAAGAUUCCAUAUAACAGUCCCCAUGGCUCGUCAAUUUUCACGACCAAGCACUCGUCGGCUCGAUCCAAUCGACACCAAGCGAUUGGAUACUUGUCCAAGCGUCACCAAAUUCAUGAACCAAAUUCAGUAUUUCAUGUAUCAUUCAAUCAUUACAGUGAAACAGUAGACAGUCAUAUGAGAUACCAAAUGGGUGAGGGCGAUCAAGUACACCCUCACUUAAUCAAUUUCAACGGAGCAAAUAAGCCUUCAAGGCAUCAAGUUCACAUAUACCAAAGCCACAUUGUAAACAACAAGUGAGUAGUACACUCACUAAGCAAGCAAGUGAAAUUUCGUAAACUUCCGCCCAAAGAGCGUCUUUACUCACCGUCACGCCCUAGAACAUUCAAAUAAGCAUAAUAAGACUCAAUUACAAGUCAUAACCAAAUCCACAUACCACCAAAAUAAGGUUCCACUAGAAUGUAUAAGCACUAGAGUAAACCAGAGAAAUCCGGAAAUUGAAUUAAGAUCUAAUCCAAAAAAAAAUAGUUUUUGACAACAUUUUGCGGUUUUGGCACCAUUGGCACUACGAUUAUCGGAUGGAGGUGCAAGAUACACCGUUUCGAAGCUAACAGAUAGGGUUACAAUGUUACAGAAGAUCACUCAGCCCAGUUCAUAGUGAAACUAGGCCAAAAAUGCAGGAUACUAAACCAGAACCGCAAAAAUAGGUGAACAAACCGUAUUCUGGUUAAUAAACUGUAAGUCAGGCUACCUAAGUCCAAAUCAAGUGAUUCAAAAGCCAUUCGAAAGCUAAGACAUCAGUCUACAUUUCUUUAGAAGACCUCAACAACCAAUUCUGAAGUAUUUCCAACCAAAAUAACCCAUUACAGAAGCAAUUCUCAAGUUCGGGUGAAAAUUGGGCAGCAGGGGUAUUUCGGUCUUUUCACAAGCUACGCUACUCCGAUUGGUCUGAAAUUUUGAAGACAACUCUAAAAUAUCAUUCCCUACAACUUUCAUGUUUUAACCCAAGGCUAAUUCGGCCUCUAACUAUGAUGAACAGUGCCGGGCAGAAUUAGGGGAAAUGAAACCCUAACUUUCAAAAUUUCUUUCCAAAGCAGAAAUUUUCUGCAAUUAACCACACUUUACACCUUCUAACUUCCUUCAAUAUCAUUUCCAACCAUCAUACAUAGCCACACCAUAACAAUCAUAUUAAAACAGAAAUAUCAUGAUUAAAUAGAAAAUGUCAUCAAUCUCAACCAAAAUCAUGAAUUAACACCAAAGAUCAUUACUUUAACUCACAUAGGUCACUAAUUAAACAUUAUUGGAAAGACAAGAGUAGUCUCUUAGUCACUCACCUUAUAAGACAAGAAAGGAAGCAAUUCAACACCUUAGCCUUCCAAACAACUUCACCAAUCAUCUCACAAUCACUAAGUGAAGAGGUUUUAUGGAGCAAACACAAAAUUAAACGGUGGAAAUUGAAGAUUGAGCAAAUUUGGAGCAAAGAAAUUGGAGAGCUUUUCUUGUCUUGUUGCUUGAAGAUGGCCGGCCACAAGAAGCAAAUUUUGAGUGAUUUUUGGUCAAUUUUUGAGUUAUUUUAAACAAAUGGUAAAAGGGUGAAUAGUAGUCAAAAGUAAGAAUUAACCUCUAAGUGACACAUGUCACUUUCAUUAAUUGCAUACCUAACCUUUUUUUCUCUCUCACACCAAUUCACUUGGUAACCUCUAAUUAUCUCAUAACACCCGGUAAUUAAAUCCAGUAUCCAAAACUUAACAUAACUGGCCGAAUUUUUCCGAACUUUUCGCACUAGCGGGUCCCAGGUCCGAUAUACGCUCUUAACUUCUCAAAAACUAACCAAUACUAGAAAAAUCAUCUAAAAACUAUAUUUACUCAUAAACAUUAUUUAGAAAAUUUUCUAAUAAAGAAAAUGCAUAAAAGGCGUGCGAAUAAUUAAAAUAAGGCCUAGAAAUAAGGAAAUUUACGGGUUCUCACACUCUCUCCCCCUUAAAAGAAUUUCGCCCUCGAAAUUCUCACCUUAACUCACGAAAAGUUCAGGGUAUUUCUUUCGCAUUUCUUCUUCCACCUCCCAGGUAGUCUCUUCUAUCCCAUGAUUUCUCCACUUUUCCCGAGCGAAAACAACUGCGACUAACUCCAGGUCGUGGGUUGGAUAGUUUUUGUUCGUGGGGUUUCAAUUUCUUAGAGGCAAAAGAUUUCACAUUCUGGUUUUGCGUCAACACACACCCCAAACCUUCUCUCCUACACAAACGCGGCAAUCCUUACAAACCAUACCAGUGCUCACACGAUGUUUCCCCAUAGGAGUACUACUUUCAGGUCGUCGGGUAGACGAGCAGGUUUUGUAUCUAUUCCGUACAUAAAAUUGGGGUUGACAAAUGAAUGAGUAACACCGGGAUCUACUAAGAUUUUCGCAAAUCGGUGAAAUACCGAAAUCGUACCUUCCUCAAUUUCAGAAAAAUCGGGGACCUGUGAUGGCUCCAGUGAAUACACUCGAGCCGCUACCUUAGGUUUGGUCCCUUCCACCUUGGCCGGUUCGGAAUUAGUCAUCGUCGAUUGCUGACUCCCCUUUCAAUCUCGUGAUAGGACUGGACAAGUAGCGAGUUGAUGGUUUGCAAUUCCACAGCGCAAACAUUUUCCCUCCUUCUUCCAGCAAUUGUCCUCCGCGUGGUUUGACUUUCCGCAAUACCCGCAAGGUCCGCGUGCUGCAGAAGCCGAGUCUCCUCUCUGGCCUCUCCCCACUUGGCCGCCUCGUGAUGGGUCCUCUCGUGACACUCCCGGCAUCCUUUCUUCUCCCAUUCCCCGCCCAAACUUGGAACGGGUACUCUCAUCCCCCUGCCCCGAACUACUUUCAGGAAAUCCUCGCUUUUUCGCCAGGAAGUUCCUCACCUGUAACCUAGCAUUCUCUACUCGUUGCGCCUUCUCCACUGCAUCACUGAAGGCGUUAAUUUGGGCUACCGCGAGGUCCUUCUGGAUUUCUACGUUCAGGCCCUGGACAAAUCGCCGUAUUCUUCGUUGCUCGGUCAUGAUGAGUUCCGGCGCAAAUUUGGAUAGGCGGGUGAAUUGGCUCUCGUAUUCCGCUACAGAUUGGGCCCCCUGACGAAGCCGAAUAAAUUCAUCUUCUUUCCGCUCCUGAACUAGAGGAGGGAAGAAUUUAGCAUUGAAUUCCCGCAUAAAAUUCACCCAAGUCUUGGGCGUUUGUUCCUGUUCCCAUUUUUGCCGAAUAACAUUCCACCAGGAACGGGCCGCCCCUUCCAGUUGAAAGACGGCGAAGGUCACCUGCCUCUCCUCCGUAUAAUGUAGGGCGGCAAAGAUAUCCACCAUCUUCUCUAUCCACCUUUCGGCCAUGUCCGUAUCGGGCCCCCCGAUAAACUUUGGUGGGGCAAAUUUCUGGAACCUCUCGAGAGCCCUAUCCUCGCUCUCCACGUGAUUGCCGGGGUUCCCAGGGUUGGGGUUAGGGUUUUGACCCUGUUGGUGCACCACUUGGGCUAGUAAAUUAGUCAUUUGCUGCAUAGCAGCCGCUAUUUGGAUGUUAUGAUCAACCCUAGGUUCAAAGUUAGGUCCAGAUGAGGUUUCCCGAGUGCCCCUUUCAGGCGUGGGUUGCCCACCCCCACGUCCACGGCUUCGACCACUACGAGUGCCUUCCAUCAAUCUAAGUCGAUCUAGGUCACAAAAUAAAUAUACUGUUAAAGGGCACCUAACCCUCCUUUUCGUAGCACUAAACAGGAACAAUUAAACAAGGACAAUUAACUAAAACAGCUACCUCGUAGAGCAUUUAAACACAUAACACAUAUACAUAGAACACAUAACCGGAUCAAGCAAUUUUACAGAACAGUCAGUCAAGUACAUACAAAAUCAUCCCAUGAAACAAAAGGGGUCCUCCAAAAGUACUAUAGACAGACCAGGUCACGAGUACAAAAGAACUCACGAAAAGCUUUCCCUCCCCCUAGGGUGCCGUCCAUAAUCUACGAGAAUAACACCAUUUAUAUCUUAAUCAAGGUUGAUCACGCUUAACCAUACCCGAACAAACCACAGAAAAUUUCAUAGAAUCGCAUUUCUAGUUCGCCCAAUCCUUUCUAACCUAGGCUCUCAUCUCUUUCGUAUCCGGGCGCAAGAAUCCCAUCUAAGAUGAUUCACAACUCGAGCCGGCCGGUCCCAAGCGUAAUUCAUCCCUAUUAAAGAUUCCUACCUGACAUACAUACCUAACUUCCUCAAGUCCCAUGAUAAUGAUCCUUACACUUAUGACAUGCACAGUUCAUAGCUUACGCUCAAAAGAGCACUUAUACCUUUCGACGCAUUCACGAAAGCAGGACCAUAACACCACUUGGUCGAAGCUCACUCCGCGUAGAGACCAUGCGAAGUAGCUCUGAUACCACCUGUGACAACCCCACCUUCCCCUAAGGCGAACCAAAGGGGUUAGCGAACUGCCUGCCCAACUCUCGCCAGGACUAACGGUUCAGUUUAGAGCGACCUAAUACGUUCCGGAACAUACAAACGCGCGUAAACAAGUCAACAUCACAAAAAUGAAAAAAAAUGAAAAAACGGAGCCGGUCAUGGACAGUAACUGCCACGUCCGAAUACGGCCGCCAAAAAUUUUGUUUCGCCGUUUGAAAUCCGAAUCUGUCCGAAUUCUCGCCCAACAUCAAUCAAACAUUUAUACGUUGAAACUAAGCAUAUACAAUCCAAAGUGGCAUACAAAAGUUAUUCAAAAGUUUAUACAUGUACGGUUUGCCAAAUCAAAAGAGAAAACGGACCCAAAAGUACAUUUAGGGUUUCAAUCAAUGAGCUAUACAAAAGAUAUGUACAUCUAGCUCAAUUCGACAACCAACUAUCAAAUCCAGUCCAAAAGUAUUUAUUUUCCUGUAAGGAAAACAAAAGGGACAGAGUGAGCUUACGCCCAGUGGUAUACUAUCACUCAAGCAACCAAGUCAUAUAGGCAUAAAGCGGUCAAGAAAGAAAUAAACCAAGAUCACACAUUCACAAGAUGGGUAAAAGGAUACGGACGGCUCUCAGGAGCCCCUUUCCUCGCUCGUAUACUUGAUCGGACUUCAUUGUGUGAGGACUCGCAAAUUUCUUAUAUUUUUCUCAAAAAUGCCUUUUUAUUUUGAAAUUAUUCAUUUAUUAAAGCCCUACUACCCAAUUAUUCCACAAUAAGUGUAAAUAAACCUAGAAAGUAGGGUUUCACUUUUGGUUUCAAGAUUGGAGCAAAAUUAGGGUUUUCGCGAUUUAUCGCCGGAUGAAUUUUCGGUACUGAGCAAGGAUCAAAUUUGGUGAUUAAAAGUGACUUUUAAGUGAGAAAUAAUAUGUGAUUAGGAGCAAUGAUAUAGAGUUGGUGAAUAGGAAGUAAAAACCCUAGUACGUGUGUUUUUAAGAAAAACGGUGCGAACCGACGGGUACCGCGCACUACCGAUUGAACGCACCUCUUGACCACCACUUUCUUACCAUACAAGCUUAUUGAUAUUUGAGCAAAAUAUCUUCUCAAUUUCCAGCUAGCUUGACCGAAAUUUGAGGCUAAAAUAACAAGGAAAGGGAAAGAGAAAAAUGAAAGGUGGUGACAAGCGUCGCCACCCUAGAGUUUCUUGACCAAGAGUUGGUCUUUCUUCUUAUUUCCAAAUUUUGCAGUUUCCUCUUCAUUUUUUCUGCUGCUGGCCGACCAAAAGAGAGAGAGAAAGGGAGAGCAAAAGAAAACUUCUUUCUUCUUGAAUCUUAGCCAAAUCAAGUGAGAAAAUCGAUUUCCAAACCGAUUAAAGUGUUAAUUGUGAGUUGGGAAGCUAGAGGAACUAGAAAUUUUCAAAGGAGGUGGAUUAUCACUCAUCCAAGCUUGUCUUUGAGGUAUUAAAUCUGAUCAUGGUCCUUGAUCUUUUAAAUCUUGCGUUAAGAUGCUAUUUAGCUUAAGUUUUGGCUUGAUUUCAAGAUGUGCAAGUGAUUGUGAUAAUUAUUGGAUGAAAUAAACAAGUUAGGGUUUUGGGGAUUUGCUGCCAAACUUGAUGUAUGAUUCAUAUAGGUUGUAUUUAAGGUUAUAUAAGGGGUUUUGGUAGUGCUGGAAGUAAGAAAUCAAGGAAGGUUGCAUUGAAAACUGAAAAUUCCAGAUUUCUGGAAAAUUUCCCCUCUUUCUGCCCGAUUUUGUUGCUGCAUGUUAGAGGCCGAAUUGGCCUUAGGUUAAAACAUUAAAGUUGUAUAGAAUGGUAUUUUAUAGGUGCCUACAAAAUUUCAGCUCAAUCGGAGCAACGUAGGCCAUGAAAAGACCAAAAUACCCUCACUAUUUUAAGGUUUUUCCCAGUAGUCCGUUUGGUCAGUUUAUCCAGUUUAUCAUGUUUAUUCACUAGGAUCCGUACUGAUUUAGCUUUUUACCAAAACAUGAAAGUUUUAGUAUUCUGACUUAGCUUUUAAAUGCCUCUAAGAACACCUUAAUCGGACCUUGGUAACCUGAGAUAUGACCAUUCCAGUGCAGUGCGGUUAAAUAGCCGACUAGUUGGAUUUUGGUUUUGUAAAUUGAGGAUUUGACUAGGUUGCAUUGGAAACUGGACUAAGUGAUCUUCAUGAACAUUGUAGCCCUGUGUCUUAGCUUCGAAACGGUAUAAUUUGUGCCUCAAUCUGAUAAGCGUAGCCUCGAAUGUGUUAUUUCCGCAACCACACGUCAAAUCCGUCUUUUGCUAGGUUACAUUUCCGCACUUGUUAUCACUUUGAUUUCUGUUCUUAUGUUGUUAUGAGCCUAUGGAACGGCUAUUUACUUGAAUCUAUGAUAUGUAUGAUUUUGGGAUUGGCUGAGGAAAAAUAAUGAAGCCAAAAUGGCUGAAAAAUUAGGUAAACACAAAGGGCGUGCUGCCCAAAUUUUCGCUCGAGGGCUAGGUUUCUAUUUGAACUUGUAUACUUUUGUUUGGCCAAUACCAUGACCGGCUUUCCAUUUUAAAACAUGAUUUUUCAUCCUUGGGUUCAAACAACCCUCUUCUUACUUGAAAGUCAUCUUUACACGUUUUACUCCUAAUUAGUCGGGUUUCUUUGUUUCCCUUAAAUGUUUUGCUCGAUAAACUGUAAUAUGUUCUCUUGUUCAACCUUAGGUUUCAUUGGUGACUAAGGGUAAUAUCCGAAAGGAUAUUUUGCACGUUAUUUUGCAUAACUAGGUGAGUGUUCCUUGUUUGCUAUAUUUCCUUGACUUAUUGGCUUGUUAUUAUUGAUUGAUAAUGUGUUAAGUGCUUUCAAUGAUUGUUAAAACGAGUUUUCUAGGCGAGGGUGUACUUUAUCGCACUCGACCUAAAUAAAUGUGAAAUUUUCAAUGAUUAAGGAUUAAAUGUUACUUGUGCAUGAAUGUAAGCCUUUUGGCGGAACUGGCCACUGCCCUUCGUUACCGAUCGACUCGAGCCAGAAGCGGACUCGGUCGGACGAUAUGGUGACCCUGGGUGAAUUUGGUAUACUCGAGUAUUACCUUGUAGUCCGGCUACGUCCGGAUGGGUGGAGUCCGGUCAACGUCCGGAUGGGUGGAGUCCGGUCAAUGUCCGGAAAGGGAUGAAUGAACGAACGAAGGCACGAGGGUUUUAUUUUUCAAAAAGGAAAUUUCAAAUAAUUGGAGGAAUAAGGGGAAAUGUCAGGGGAACGAACGAAAGAACGAAUAGCUCCAUGUGAGCCCGUAUCCUUUUAAUGAAUGUUACUAUUGCUUUCCAUUGUAAAUGUUUCUUGAAUUAUUGAUACUCCACGUUUAAUGUAUUGAAUUGAUUGUUUGAUUAUUUGUUCGGAACCUCACUGAGCUUUUAGCUCACCCCUUUAGUUUUGUUUUCCUUAACAGGGGACGGCGAG
rnacentral:lncRNA from 1 species